GACGAAGGGGGGCGAGCGUUGCUCGGAAUCACUGGGCUUAAAGCGGGCGUAGGCGGUCCGGUAAGUCGGAUGUGAAAGCCCUCGGCUCAACCGAGGAACGGCACCCGAAACUACCGGACUUGAGGUGUUCAGGGGCGAGUGGAACUCUCGGUGGAGCGGUGAAAUGCGUAGAGAUCGAGAGGAACGCCGAUGGCGAAGGCAACUCGCUGGGAGCAUCCUGACGCUCAGGCCCGAAAGCUAGGGGAGCGAACGGGAUUAGAUACCCGCGUA
rnacentral:rRNA from 1 species